rnacentral:rRNA from 1 species
CCUGCCCUCGAGUUGGGGAUAACACUUCCAACGAGGUGCUAAUACCGAAUAAGACCACAUCUCCGCAUGGUCCUGUGGUCAAAGAUGGCCUCUACUUGUAAGCUAUCGCUUGAGGAUGGUCCCGCGUCCCAUUAGCUUGUUGGUGGGAUAAUGGCCCACCAAGGCUACGAUGGGUAGCUGGUCUGAGAGGAUGGUCAGCCACACUGGGACUGAGAUACGGCCCAGACUCCUACGGGAGGCAGCAGUCGAGAGGCUUCGGCAAUGGGGGAAACCCUGACCGAGCGACGCCGCGUGCGCGAUGAAGGCCUUCGGGUUGUAAAGCGCUGUCGUGCGGGAAGAAAGGUUCAUCUGCAAACAGUGGAUGGAUUUUGACGGUACCGCAAAAGGAAGCUCCGGCUAACUCCGUGCCAGCAGCCGCGGUAAUACGGGGGGAGCAAACGUUGUUCGGAUUUACUGGGCUAAAGGGCGCGCAGGCGGCCUCGUCAGCGGGAUGUGAAAGGUCCUGGCUUAACCAGGGAAGUGCGUCCCAUACUGCGGGGCUUGAGUGCAGGAGAGGAUGGGGGAAUUCCCGGUGUAGCGGUGAAAUGCAUUGAUAUCGGGAGGAACACCAGUGGCGAAGGCGCCCAUCUGGACUGCUACUGACGCUGAGGCGCGAAAGCUGGGGGAGCAAACAGGAUUAGAUACCCUGGUAGUCCCAGCCGUAAACGGUGAGCACUAGGUGUGGGGGGCAUCGACCCCUUCCGUGCCGCAGCUAACGCAUUAAGUGCUCCGCCUGGGGAGUACGACCGCAAGGUUGAAACUCAAAGGAAUUGACGGGGGCCCGCACAAGCGGUGGAGCAUGUGGUUUAAUUCGAUGCAACGCGAAGAACCUUACCUGGGCUUGAACUACAGGCAUUAGUUACCUGAAAGGGCUAACGAUCCUCCUUUGGAGGAACCUGCAGAGGUGCUGCAUGGCUGUCGUCAGCUCGUGUCGUGAGAUGUUGGGUUAAGUCCCGCAACGAGCGCAACCCUUACUAUUAGUUGUCAGCGAGUUAUGUCGGAUACUCUAAUGGGACUGCCGGUGACGAGCCGGAGGAAGGUGGGGAUGACGUCAAGUCAGCAUGGCCUUUAUGUCCAGGGCUACACACGUGCUACAAUGGAUGGUACAGAGGGCAGCAAGACCGCGAGGUGGGGCUAAUCCUUAAAACCAUUCUCAGUUCGGAUUGCAGGCUGCAAUUCGCCUGCAUGAAGGUGGAAUUGCUAGUAAUCGCGGAUCAGCUACGCCGCGGUGAAUGCGUUCUCGGGUCUUGUACACACCGCCCGUCACGUCACGAAAGCUGGUGGCGCCAGAAGUCGCUGGUCUAACC